UACAGAGGUCUCAAGCGUUGUUCGGAUUCAUUGGGCGUAAAGGGCGCGUAGGCUGCGGGGCCAGUCGGGUGUGAAAUCUCAGAGCUCAACUCUGAAACUGCACUCGAUACUGCUUUGCUUGAGGACUGGAGAGGAGAUUGGAAUUCACGGUGUAGCAGUGAAAUGCGUAGAUAUCGUGAGGAAGACCAGUGGCGAAGGCGGAUCUCUGGACAGUUCCUGACGCUGAGGCGCGAAGGCCAGGGGAGCAAACGGG
rnacentral:rRNA from 1 species